GACGAACGCUGGCGGCGUGCUUAACACAUGCAAGUCGAGCGGUAAGGCCCUUCGGGGUACACGAGCGGCGAACGGGUGAGUAACACGUGGGCGACCUACCCUCAGCUUCGGGAUAAGCCUGGGAAACUGGGUCUAAUACCGGAUAUGACCACAUGUCGCAUGGUGUGUGGUGGAAAGUUUUUCGGCUGGGGAUGGGCCCGCGGCCUAUCAGCUUGUUGGUGGGGUGAUGGCCUACCAAGGCGACGACGGGUAGCCGGCCUGAGAGGGCGACCGGCCACACUGGGACUGAGAUACGGCCCAGACUCCUACGGGAGGCAGCAGUGGGGAAUAUUGCGCAAUGGGCGAAAGCCUGACGCAGCGACGCCGCGUGGGGGAUGACGGCCUUCGGGUUGUAAACCUCUUUCGAUCGGGACGAAGCCUUUGGGUGACGGUACCGGUAGAAGAAGCACCGGCCAACUACGUGCCAGCAGCCGC
rnacentral:rRNA from 1 species